ACGGGUGAGUAAUACAUCGGAACGUGCCCGAGAGUGGGGGAUAACGAAGCGAAAGCUUUGCUAAUACCGCAUACGAUCUCAGGAUGAAAGCAGGGGACCGCAAGGCCUUGCGCUCACGGAGCGGCCGAUGGCAGAUUAGGUAGUUGGUGGGAUAAAAGCUUACCAAGCCGACGAUCUGUAGCUGGUCUGAGAGGACGACCAGCCACACUGGGACUGAGACACGGCCCAGACUCCUACGGGAGGCAGCAGUGGGGAAUUUUGGACAAUGGGCGCAAGCCUGAUCCAGCCAUGCCGCGUGCAGGAUGAAGGCCUUCGGGUUGUAAACUGCUUUUGUACGGAACGAAAAGACUCUGGUUAAUACCUGGGGUCCAUGACGGUACCGUAAGAAUAAGCACCGGCUAACUACGUGCCAGCAGCCGCGGUAAUACGUAGGGUGCGAGCGUUAAUCGGAAUUACUGGGCGUAAAGCGUGCGCAGGCGGUUAUGUAAGACAGAUGUGAAAUCCCCGGGCUCAACCUGGGAACUGCAUUUGUGACUGCAUAGCUAGAGUACGGCAGAGGGGGAUGGAAUUCCGCGUGUAGCAGUGAAAUGCGUA
rnacentral:rRNA from 1 species